rnacentral:lncRNA from 1 species
AGGUGGAAUUACUACUCAUGGUGAGGCUGUUGGAGUUUGACUGAUACAUCAACAUGGGUCUCAAGGAGUCCUUGUAGUGGAUGUUGGCGACAGUUGGUCCAUUGUAGGAGUAGGAUGUGCAUCAAGAUGGAAUCUAUUGAUUCUAACAGAAGGGAGUAGUCCUAUGAGAUUUAAGAGGCUGAGUCCUUAAGUCUAUGGCCAUAGCAUUGUAAUUGAUGGAAAAGAGUUUUCAUAG